rnacentral:rRNA from 1 species
GGGACACGUGGUAUCCUGUCUGAAUAUGGGGGGACCAUCCUCCAAGGCUAAAUACUCCUGACUGACCGAUAGUGAACCAGUACCGUGAGGGAAAGGCGAAAAGAACCCCGGCGAGGGGAGUGAAAAAGAACCUGAAACCGUGUACGUACAAGCAGUGGGAGCCUCUUUAUGGGGUGACUGCGUACCUUUUGUAUAAUGGGUCAGCGACUUAUAUUCUGUAGCAAGGUUAACCGUAUAGGGGAGCCGAAGGGAAACCGAGUCUUAACUGGGCGUUAAGUUGCAGGGUAUAGACCCGAAACCCGGUGAUCUAGCCAUGGGCAGGUUGAAGGUUGGGUAACACUAACUGGAGGACCGAACCGACUAAUGUUGAAAAAUUAGCGGAUGACCUGUGGCUGGGGGUGAAAGGCCAAUCAAACCGGGAGAUAGCUGGUUCUCCCCGAAAGCUAUUUAGGUAGCGCCUCGUGAACUCAUCUUCGGGGGUAGAGCACUGUUUCGGCUAGGGGGCCAUCCCGGCUUACCAACCCGAUGCAAACUACGAAUACCGAAGAAUGUUAUCACGGGAGACACACGGCGGGUGCUAACGUCCGUCGUGAAGAGGGAAACAACCCAGACCGCCAGCUAAGGUCCCAAAGUCAUGGUUAAGUGGGAAACGAUGUGGGAAGGCACAGACAGCCAGGAUGUUGGCUUAGAAGCAGCCAUCAUUUAAAGAAAGCGUAAUAGCUCACUGGUCGAGUCGGCCUGCGCGGAAGAUGUAACGGGGCUAAACCAUGCACCGAAGCUGCGGCAGCGACACUAUGUGUUGUUGGGUAGGGGAGCGUUCUGUAAGCCGUUGAAGGUGUGCUGUGAGGCAUGCUGGAGGUAUCAGAAGUGCGAAUGCUGACAUAAGUAACGAUAAAGCGGGUGAAAAGCCCGCUCGCCGGAAGACCAAGGGUUCCUGUCCAACGUUAAUCGGGGCAGGGUGAGUCGACCCCUAAGGCGAGGCCGAAAGGCGUAGUCGAUGGGAAACAGGUUAAUAUUCCUGUACUUGGUGUUACUGCGAAGGGGGGACGGAGAAGGCUAUGUCAGCCGGGCGACGGUUGUCCCGGUUUAAGCAUGUAGGCGGAGGUUCCAGGUAAAUCCGGUACCUUUUAACGCUGAGGUGUGAUGACGAGGCACUACGGUGCUGAAGUGAUAAAUGCCCUGCUUCCAGGAAAAGCCUCUAAGCAUCAGGUAACACGAAAUCGUACCCCAAACCGACACAGGUGGUCAGGUAGAGAAUACCAAGGCGCUUGAGAGAACUCGGGUGAAGGAACUAGGCAAAAUGGUGCCGUAACU